GAUGAACGCUGGCGGCGUGCCUAAUACAUGCAAGUCGAGCGAACAGACGAGGAGCUUGCUCCUCUGACGUUAGCGGCGGACGGGUGAGUAACACGUGGAUAACCUACCUAUAAGACUGGGAUAACUUCGGGAAACCGGAGCUAAUACCGGAUAAUAUAUUGAACCGCAUUGUUCAAUAGUAAAAGACGGUUUUGCUGUCACUUAUAGAUGGAUCCGCGCCGCAUUAGCUAGUUGGUAAGGUAACGGCUUACAAAGGAAACGGUGCCUAGCCGACCUGAGAGGGUGAUCGGCCACACUGGAACUGAGACACGGCCCAGACUCCUACGGGAGGAAGCAGUAGAGAAUCUUCCGCAAUGGGCGAAAGCCUGACGGAGCAACGCCGCGUGAGUGAUGAAGGUCUUCGGAUCGUAAAACUCUGUUAUUAGGGAAGAACAAAUGUGUAAGUAACUAUGCACGUCUUGACGGUACCUAAUCAGAAAGCCACGGCUAAAUACGUG
rnacentral:rRNA from 1 species